rfam:Morus notabilis contig5279, whole genome shotgun sequence.
GGAGGCCAAUGAUGACUAGUAUUGCCUACAUUGUCAGAUUUGUCUUAAUUAUGAUAAGAGUAACCUUAGUUCUGAGGCCUCU